AUGGGGAGGAGAGAACAUGUGGGCACCCUAAGGUUGUUUGGACCAAAUCAAUCGAGCCUAACACAGUAAAUCACAGCAGGAUACAACACUGAUGUCCUUCUGCCUUACCAAAGUUAGCAAUUUAGUGGCAGAAUGGCCAUCCCCAGACACCAAGGAAGGGGACCCCAGGGAUGGGGGCUAGCUGAGAAGCCCACCCUCCUUGCUAAAUGGGUAGCAGAACAAGGUCUGUGCCCAUGGGGACAGGAUGCAUUCCAGGGAAAAGAGGCACCUGAAUCUUCUUGUAAGGGGUUUGAAGUGUAUAUGAAGUUGAAACCAAAGAAAGAUGCUAUCAGAGCGGCAGCCAGCCGGGCAUUAUGGAAAGCCAACAAUCUUUUGAGGUUGGUGUUAU